rnacentral:tRNA from 1 species
AAGAUGUAUCGUAAGACUUCUAAUCUUUUUAUAGUGCCCGCACUACAUCUUU